rnacentral:tRNA from 1 species
UGUUUAACCACCUAGCCUUUGAAAGGCUUAGGUUCAACCUAGACCAAAGGCCUUCAAAGCCUUAAGCAGG